rnacentral:lncRNA from 1 species
GCAUAGGGCAUCGGCUCCCGACCAUAUUUUCCACCGUUCACUUCAUGCAAACCAAACGAGUCCUGAGUCUUGAACUGGGACCGUUUCCAAAAGAAAAGAUUAUUUGACACUCUGGAUUAUUUCCAGGUAGGAAAAUCAGGGUCGAUGAACCAAUGCUAUAUAGUACAAAUUUCCAAUGAUCUUGCCGGCCGACAUGGUACUAUGAGGGGUCAAAGCUGUACCUUGACUUUCAGAUCAGCACAUGUCCCUUAAAAAUAAAUAAAUAAAUAAAUCACAAGGACACCC